UACGUAGGGUGCGAGCGUUAAUCGGAAUUACUGGGCGUAAAGUGUGCGCAGGUGGCCGCGCAAGUCGAGUGUGAAAUCCCCGAGCUUAACUUGGGAAUUGCGCUCGAAACUACGUGGCUAGAGUGUGGCAGAGGGAGGUGGAAUUCCACGUGUAGCGGUGAAAUGCGUAGAGAUGUGGAGGAACACCAAUGGCGAAGGCAGCCUCCUGGGCCAACACUGACACUCAUGCACGAAAGCGUGGGGAUCAAACAGG
rnacentral:rRNA from 1 species